rnacentral:lncRNA from 1 species
AAAAACUAAAAAACUAUUUUUAAAAAGGAAUUCAAACAUGUCCUUAAUGUUUGGCCUCGACUUAAGCAUUAAGAACUUUCUUGUUAUAUUACAUGGAUAAGAUAUGGCUCUGCUGUCCUGCACAAAACACCACUAUCACAUUUAACAAUUAAUGUGUUGUUCUUAAAUUUCUCUAUCUCUUUGGUGAAGGGGACUGAGAACGAUGCCCAUGAAUUUCUUUUGUAUGUGUUGCAACAUUUUCAAACGUGUUUAUUUGCUCAAAAGAAUAAUCGGAUUGGUGACCUAUUUGGGAGAUCUUUUGUCAAUGGUAUGGAUAUUAAAUAGUUUUGCAGCUUAGUGUCUAUCUGUAAAAAUGGUACUAUUUGAUUAGUCUCUUCAUCAUUUAUGUUUGCACGUGUUUGACAUGUGCCCAUGUUAACGAAAUACCACAUACCUUUAACCACAUAACUUUGUCGGUGGAAAACAAGAGUUCUAUUUCAAAAAUGCUGAAGUUAUAUACCAAUAAGGAAAAGCUCGACACCAAGGUUAAAUGUAACGGUUGUCGCAAGAUGCAGUGGAUGGAGACACGUCGAAAGUACCAGAGUUACUGGUCCUUCAUAUAAACAGCUUUAUAAUCAAGGAGAUAUUACUGAAAAAAUCAAUGGGGAUUUUGUUUUUAGAACUAGGUUGAACAUUGGAA